rnacentral:lncRNA from 1 species
AUGUGUUCAGCCAGGGAGGAACUGGAAGGAAUCAAGAAAGAAACCUGCAGCGCUGGGUUCUCUCCCGUGGGCUCCUCUCGGCCGUUACUGGCCCACGUGAUGUUGGUUGGCUGGUAUCGCUGCCUGUGUUGCUGCUGCCUCGUGCUCUCCAAGAGGAACAAGCUGCACGCUGUGGCUUUGGAGGGCCGCCCGCUUGGGCGAGCGGCUGCAGUGCGAGGAGGGAGCUGCACGUGGAUCCAUGCAAUCGCUCGUGAGCACCGCAGAGAGCGGUCAGGGGUCCCCAUAUCAACUGUGGCCCAGCUGUACCAUGUGAGCAACAUCCUUGGCUCCUGCAGACGCACGCAAGCCAGGAUGGCUGUGUGCUCCAGGUGGAGAAAAAAGGAGCCUUUUAUCUCCUCCUGCAGAGCUGGCUGGUGGCAGGCCUGUGUGUGGCACUUGCUUUCUUUGCUGUGGCUGGAGCUGGAACAGAUUAGGGGGUGA